CGAAUCCCCGAACUCCAAGAAUGCUCGUCUUCUGUACAAGCUCGCCUGCGCGCGCACACGCGCGCCGCGCUUCCCCGCACACCAGUGAAUAUUUGAUGAGGAAAUGAAGAUACCUGCUUUCUCUUCACCUUUCCUGGGAUUGUUAGAAAAUGAUACAGACACUAAAUAGGAGGAAGCCAGCUGUACAUUGUGAGGACACUCUCAAGAUGCUCCAUGGAGAGGCCUGUGGAGUGAGACACUGAAGCCUCCUGCCAACAGCCGUGUGAGUUCGCCAUCUUGGAAGCAGAUCCUCCAGCCUCAGUCAAGCCUUCAUGACUGCAGCACCCGCUAACAUCCUGGCUGCAGCCUCAUGAGAAACCCUGAGCCGAAACCACCCAACUAAGCUGCUCCCAAUUCCUGAUCCAUUGAAACUGUGAGGUGACACAUAUUUGUCUGAAGAUACUAAUUUGGGGUAAUUUUGCUGUGCAACAGUGGUAAUUAAUACGAGUGGAUCCUUCCUCCAUUUUACACGUGAUAGUUUAGUAACCUGCCCGACUCCCUGUCUUUGACUGCAGAAGCCUAACUCUUUGUUUGCUUGUUUUUCCUUUUCAUCAGAUACGGUCUUGCUAUGCAGCUCAGGCUGCCCUUAAAUUCACUAUGUAUCUGGGGUCAAACUCGCAGUGAGCCUCCUGCCUCAGUGCUGGGAUUACACGUGUGUACUAGCGUGCUUGGCUCCAGAAGCCUCUUAACCAAAAAGCCAUAUACUGUCAGCAGUAGAAACCACUUAUGGAACAUUACUAUGUGCCAGAAACUUUCCUUAUAUUGUCUCACUGACUCCCACAACACCUCUGUAAGGAAGACUUCUUUCUGCCUUUCAAAAGGGUCAGGGUAAAGUUAUUAUCUUCUUAUGGGAAUCACGUGAUAAUGAUGUGUAUGAAGGCGUAAGAGUAAGGCAUCACUGUGGUCCAUUUCAUUCCGGUCCCUUGCUGCCUUGCUUGGCUCAAGUACAAGGUGGCUUGAUAAGCAUCCUACUAAUUUCCCUUCCUCAAAGGGCUCUGACAGUUUAAAAUGACCCCAAAUGACACCUUUCCCUUGAAUAUAUGCAAAUAUACUGAGAUGUAAUAUAGUGUAUUUUACCUUAUCUCGAGAUUUUAAUUAAAAAAAUGGAAAAACAUUUUUAAAACACAGCAUUUAAUUUGUAUAGGAAAUAAAUGAGUUCAUAGAGUGUAAGUCCUAAAAAAUAAUAAAAUGGCUGUGCCUUUCAUUUUCUAGUCUUAAUAUCAGACCUGAUUCAGUGAAGUUUUACAGGCUUUUUAUAAUGCACCUUGGAAUUCUGGGACAGUUAAAUAAAAAUACACACCAUGAAAAAGA